AUGAAGGUUAAAGAUGUUGNGAGUCAGGUGAUUUUGGCUACUCAGCUACUUCUGAUGUGCCGGGCUUUAUUUCUGUGUCUACCUUCAAAGAAUCUAGUACUGAAAUCUGAGAAUUUAACUUGGAACUUUCUUUGAUGCAUAUUAUAUGUAGCAAGCAAAUCUCUAGGCUUUUAAGUUUGCUUGACUUACUAAAGUUUGUAAUCUGAAAUUGUUUGCUAUAUAUUGAUUUGACCUAUGCUUAGCAACAUAGAAUUAAUCAAGAUUUAACUUUUAUGUAUUCUUUCCUAUUUAAGAUUCUGGAAUAUUACCAAGAUUUUAUCUUCUGUCUUUUAUUUCAUAUUCUCCAUUUGCUA
rnacentral:lncRNA from 1 species